UGACAUGUUUGCUUGCUUUCUGUUGGCAG
rnacentral:piRNA from 1 species